rnacentral:misc_RNA from 1 species
UGGUUCCGGCAUCGAUGAAGAACGCAGCGAAAUGCGAUAAUUAAUAUGAAUUGCAGAAUUCAGUGAAUCAUCGAGUCUUUGAACGCACAUUGCGCCCGCUAGUAUUCUGGCGGGCAUGCCUGUCCGAGCGUCAUUUCAACCCUCGAGCCCAGCUCGGCGUUGGGGCGCGCGGGGGAGCUGUAGUCUUACAGCGCCCCGCGCCCCCGAAGGUCAGCGGCGGCGGCCGGCGGGAGCCCUCUGCGUAGCGAAAACCUCGCACCGGGAGCCCCCGGCCCGCCCGCCACGAAACAACCGUCCCCCUGGCGGGACCAACUGGUUGACCUCGGAUCAGGUAGGAAUACCCGCUGA